ACAAGGAACUCGGCCACGCAUUUUAGAAGAAAAGUGUCCUUCUCCUCUUGAGGCUUGGCUCUCCAUUGAUCGAGCUCCUUAUCGUCGACGUAGGUGUCACCCAUGUCGGCAAAGUGGCGCGCCGAUUUGCUCAUAGAGGACGCGCCCUUGGUCAACUGCCUCUUCCUUUUGGCGGGUUGCUGCUGCUCGAUAGAUGGAGCAUCGUGGACAUCUAUAGUAGUCCGGAUCAUGGUGGAAGGCGCGGCCUUCUCCUGCGGCUGCUUGGAGCCCGAGGCCGCGGCCUUGUCUGAGGGAUGGGCUGCAGCACCCUUCUUGCCCAGGAAACUUGGACGUGGCAUAUCUGCACGAAAUAGAAACAGGGCAAGGG
rnacentral:lncRNA from 1 species